AAUAAUAGCGGAACUUUCUAAGGAUUCGGCUUCGCCCGGAAGUGGUGAUGAACAAGCUUCCUUUCCACCACCACCAACACAACCUCCUCCCAACCUUGACGGAUUUAUGAGAUUUGUUAGAGACACAAUGUAGAUUAUGAUGUAACUUGUACAUUGUUACAUCUUCUUUUAGUUUUUUUUUUCCUUUUAAGGAUGGUAUUAGUACCUUGUUAUGCUCAUUCCAUUUGGGGAAGGAAGACUAAGAAAAAUAUGCCAUUUUGG
rnacentral:lncRNA from 1 species